AUUGAACGCUGGCGGCAUGCCUUACACAUGCAAGUCGAACGGCAGCACGGGGGCAACCCUGGUGGCGAGUGGCGAACGGGUGAGUAAUACAUCGGAAUGUACCCAGUAGUGGGGGGAUAACUAGUCGAAAGAUUAGCUAAUACCGCAUACGCACUAUGGUGGAAAGCGGGGGAUCGCAAGACCUCGCGCUAUUGGAGCAGCCGAUGUCCGAUUAGGUAGUUGGUGGGGUAAAAGCCUACCAAGCCUGCGAUCGGUAACUGGUCUGAGAGGACGACCAGUCACACUGGGACUGAGACACGGCCCAGACUCCCACGGGAGGCAGCAGUGGGGAAUUUUGGACAAUGGGGGAAACCCUGAUCCAGCAAUGCCGCGUGUGUGACGAAGGCC
rnacentral:rRNA from 1 species